rnacentral:rRNA from 1 species
GAUGAACGCUGACAGAAUGCUUAACACAUGCAAGUCAACUUGAAUUUGGGUUUUUAACUUAGGUUUGGGUGGCGGACGGGUGAGUAACGCGUAAAGAACUUGCCUCACAGCUAGGGACAACAUUUGGAAACGAAUGCUAAUGCCUAAUAUUAUGAUAAUAGGGCAUCCUAUAAUUAUGAAAGCUAUAAGCGCUGUGAGAGAGCUUUGCGUCCCAUUAGCUAGUUGGAGAGGUAACGGCUCACCAAGGCGAUGAUGGGUAGCCGGCCUGAGAGGGUGAUCGGCCACAAGGGGACUGAGACACGGCCCUUACUCCUACGGGAGGCAACAGUGGGGAAUAUUGGACAAUGGACCGAGAGUCUGAUCCAGCAAUUCUGUGUGCACGAUGAAGUUUUUCGGAAUGUAAAGUGCUUUCAGCUGGGAAGAAACAAAUGACGGUACCAACAGAAGAAGUGACGGCUAAAUACGUG